rnacentral:tRNA from 1 species
UAGGAUGUGGUGUAAUGGGAGCACGAAGGGUUUUGAGUUCUUUGGUAUAGGUUCGAGUCCUGUUGUCCUAG